CCCUUAGACGUUCUGGGCCGCACGCGCGCUACACUGACGAAGGCAACGAGCUUUCCUUUACCGAAAGGUACGGGUAAUCUUUUGAAACUUCGUCGUGCUUGGGAUAGAUCCUUGCAAUUUUUGAUCUUAAACGAGGAAUGCCUAGUAAGCGCAAGUCAUCAACUUGCGUUGAUUACGUCCCUGCCCUUUGUACACACCGCCCGUCGCUACUACCGAUUGAAUGGUUUAGUGAGGCCUUCGGAUCCGCGACUCGUUUUGUGGAGAAGUUGGACAAACUCAGUCAUUUAGAGGAAGUAAAAGUCGUAACA
rnacentral:rRNA from 1 species